AUGUUGACUCUUUGAAUGGGGGAGAACGUAAAUGGGGAAGAAUAUGGGGUACUUAGAUUAUAUAUGAUUGUAACUUUAUAGGGGCAAAAGGGACAUUUUGUAAUUUAUUUUAUUUAUGUAAUUUUAGGGGGUGUGACAACUGAGACAUAGUGAUGUCUCCUCCUGCCAAGUGUGACUUUGUCCCUAAUACUCUUUAGAGGGGAGUGACUGGUUGGCCUUAAGUGAGCAACUGGCCUAGCUAGUCACUUUGCUUGCCAAGUCCCGUCUUGUACUCCUUAUAGGUUCCCCCCUGCCUACAAUGGAUUUGUUGUAUUCAUGCUAUAUGAAUGAAUGAAAUAGCCAUUUUCAUGACAUGCUUGUGCCUUUGUGUUUAUUGUGCCUUUCAUGCUUAUGAUGCUAACUAUGUGAAACCUCGCUUGUAUGAAAUGCUUGUGAUGCCUCCUUAAUUGGCCUUACUUGGCUCGAUGCUAACCAUGUCCUUGAUUUUUUACAAAUUGUUGUAAGAUUCUUAUUGGCUGACUUGCCUUGAAGAGUUCAAGCCAAGUGCAACACAGUCCCAAUUGAGUGCUUUAGCUGGGCCCGUGAAAGUUGGUAUCAGAGCUGUAAUUGAUCCGUGAGUGGAAUUAAGGAUGACGAACUUGGCUGAUCACAUCGAUGCCCUUGAGAGAAGGGUUGGCAAUUUUUUUUUUCUUUAAUUGAUAAUUGCCCUACAUAUGAGGCGUUGACAAAGGAGCUUGAAGUUGCCCGCCUUUCUCUGGAACAACAAAAUAAGCUCGUUGAGGUGCUAGAAGGCAAAGUCAAACAACUUAUGGAUGUAGUAGCCAAAUUGUUUGGGGGUGAGGAUGAGCCAAUAAAGCUUGAGGCCAUCCAAAAUUCCUUGCCAACGAAUAUUACCCAAUUAGGGGAUAUGGAGAGCCGAGUUCUCACAUUAGAGGCAAAGGCCUCUCAAGUGGCGGAUUGUGCAGAAAGCUUGAAAGCCUUCACCAUUGGUGGGUAAUGUGAAUGACAUGAAAGAGGACGUCACAGAAAUAGUGAAAACACUUCGAGGCGAAAUACAAGAUCUGCAGAGAAAGAUGAACUUGCUAGUGAAAGCUGCGAGCAACCCAAAUGGGGGAGUUUUCGAGAUGGGCAAGGCUAAAAUUCCAGAGCCCAAAGCUUUUGGAGGUGCUCGCGGUGCAAGGGAGGUAGAUAAUUUCAUUUUUGACAUGAAAUUAUAUUUUGAUGCCACCAAAAAUGAUUCUGAUGCAGGUAGAUUGAAGAUUGCACCGAUGUAUCUGGCCAAUGAUGCCAAGCUGUGGUGGAGAACAAAGGUGAAAGAAUCUAUAUCAGGCCAGUGCUCCAUUGGUACUUGGAACAAUUUCAAGAAGGAGCUAAAGGCCCAAUUCAUCCCUGAAAAUAUGGCUUAUAAUGCACGAUGUAAGCUGAUCGAGUUACAGCACAGGGGCUCCAUCCAAGAGUGUGUAAGAAACUUUUCGAUGCUCAUGCUCAACAUCAAGGACAUGUCCGAGACUGAUAGACUGUUCCACUUCCAAAAAGAUUUAAAACCAUGGGCCAGGAAUGAACUAGUAAGAAGGGGAGUAAAAGACCUCAGUGCCGCCUUAGCCGCAGCUGAAAGUCUUGAUGACUACUCUAGUAGUGCACCAAAGAGAAAAUUUAACUCCACUCCGACUGCUGACAAUCGCCCUAACAAAUGUGGUCGAAAUUUGAGUGGGGGAGCUGACCGGGGCAAUACCACUUUCGGAGGAGUGGAGAGGAAGACAUGGAACUCGGGAUCGAAAACAAACAAGUCGACGGACCAAGGUAGGGAACAAAGCAGUACUAAACAGCAGGGUAAUCGACCACAAGGGUCAACGUAUGCAGCCACUCGUAAGCCGAGACCCCUGAAAUGUUUCCUUUGCGAUGGACCACAUCGAGCUACGGAAUGUCCAACAAAAGCA
rnacentral:misc_RNA from 1 species